UGCAUGCAGCUAGCUGAGAGAAUUAGUGUGAAUUGCAGGACACAUUGAUCAUCGACACUUCAAACACACCCUGCAGCCCCUGGUUCCUCCCGGGCUACGCCUGUUUGAG
rnacentral:rRNA from 1 species